rnacentral:rRNA from 1 species
GAUGAACGCUGGCGGCGUGCUUAACACAUGCAAGUCGAACGAAGCACCUUAUUCUGAUUUCUUCGGAAUGAAAAAUUUGGUGACUGAGUGGCGGACGGGUGAGUAACGCGUGGGUAACCUGCCUCAUACAGGGGGAUAACAGUUAGAAAUGGCUGCUAAUACCCCAUGAGACCACAGCACCGCAUGGUGCAGGGGUAAAAACUCCGGUGGUAUGAGAUGGACCCGCGUCUGAUUAGGUAGUUGGUGGGGUAACGGCCUACCAAGCCGACGAUCAGUAGCCGACCUGAGAGGGUGACCGGCCACAUUGGGACUGAGACACGGCCCAAACUCCUACGGGAGGCAGCAGUGGGGAAUAUUGCACAAUGGGGGAAACCCUGAUGCAGCGACGCCGCGUGAGCGAUGAAGUAUUUCGGUAUGUAAAGCUCUAUCAGCAGGGAAGAAAAUGACGGUACCUGACUAAGAAGCCCCGGCUAACUACGUGCCAGCAGCCGCGGUAAUACGUAGGGGGCAAGCGUUAUCCGGAUUUACUGGGUGUAAAGGGAGCGUAGACGGCAAGGCAAGCCAGAUGUGAAAGCCCGGGGCUCAACCCCGGGACUGCAUUUGGAACUGUCAGGCUAGAGUGUCGGAGAGGUAAGCGGAAUUCCUAGUGUAGCGGUGAAAUGCGUAGAUAUUAGGAGGAACACCAGUGGCGAAGGCGGCUUACUGGACGAUGACUGACGUUGAGGCUCGAAAGCGUGGGGAGCANACAGG